AACAAAUAUUUUCGAUUGCCAAAUCCCUAACGAAAUCCCAACACCCGCUUCCGUACUGCCAAAACCCUCUGAACCUGCAUUUCUACAGUCGCUCGCCACCCCGCCAAGCUUCGCCGGCGGUCAUAUCUGCUUCUGACACCUGCGUUUCCUACAGCUGUGAGAAAUUUUUUACCUUUUUGUAGGUCAUGGAUGAUAGUCUGUAUGACGAAUUUGGAAACUAUAUUGGGCCUGAAAUUGAGUCCGAUCAGGAGAGUGACAGGGAUGAAGAGGAGGAACUCCCUGUUAGGGCAGAGAACGAGGAUCCUAUGUCUGAUGAUGAGCAAGGCCCUGGGAGACCAAAUGGGAUGCUGAUCAGUAAUGAAGAUGUUGAUAUGGACAACCAGAUUGUUCUAGCAGAGGACAAGAAAUACUACCCUACUGCUGAGGAGGUCUAUGGUGAAGAAGUUGAAACUUUAGUAAUGGAUGAAGAUGAGCAGCCUCUUGAACAGCCUAUCAUCAAACCCGUGAAAAACCUUAAAUUUGAGUUGGGGGUUAAGGACUCAUCCACCUAUGUAUCAACAGAGUUCCUUUUGGGUCUCAUGUCUAACCCUACAUUGGUCAGGAAUGUUGCUUUGGUUGGGCACGUGCAUCAUGGGAAAACAUUAUUCAUGGACAUGUUGGUUGAGCAGACACAUCACAUUUCAACCUUUGAUCAGAACAGUGAGAAACAUAUGAGAUACACAGAUACAAGGAUUGACGAGCAGGAAAGAAAGAUAUCUAUCAAGGCUGUUCCCAUGUCACUUGUUUUGGAGGAUAGCAGUUCAAAAUCAUACCUGUGCAAUAUUAUGGAUACACCUGGCCAUGUAAACUUUUCGGAUGAGAUGACUGCAGCGCUCAGGCUUGCUGAUGGUGCAGUGUUAAUUGUGGAUGCUGCAGAAGGAGUGAUGGUAAACACGGAGAGAGCAAUACGGCAUGCAAUUCAGGAACGGCUUCCCAUAGUAGUUGUAAUAAACAAGGUUGACAGGUUAAUAACCGAACUGAAGUUGCCUCCGAAGGAUGCCUACCAUAAGCUAAGACACACACUUGAAGUAAUAAACAACCACAUAAGUGCUGUUUCUUCAACUGCUGGAAAUGUCCAAAUUGUUGAUCCUGCUAUUGGAAAUGUUUGUUUUGCAAGUGCCAGUGCAGGAUGGUCCUUUACCUUGCAGUCCUAUGCUAAACUAUACGUUAAGCUCCAUGGUAUUCCAUUUGAUGCUAAUAAGUUUGCUUCUCGUCUUUGGGGUGAUUAUUACUUUGAUCCUGAUACUAGAACUUUCAAGAAGAAACAACCUGCUAGUGGAGUGGAACGAUCCUUUGUCCAGUUUGUUCUUGAACCUCUGUAUAAAAUAUACAGCCAAGUGAUUGGAGAACAUAAAAAGAGCGUGGAGGCUACCCUUAGUGAACUUGGUGUAACUUUGAGCAAUGCAGCCUACCGAUUAAAUGUUAGACCUCUAUUAAGAUUAGCAUGUAGCUCAGUUUUUGGUAGUGCCACAGGGUUUACAGACAUGUUGGUUCAACACAUUCCAUCUGCUAAAGAUGCUGCGCCUCGGAAGGUUGAUAACAUCUACACUGGGCCUAAGGAUUCUGCAAUUUAUCAGGCAAUGGUUGAUUGUGACGCAGCAGGUCCUCUAAUGGUUAAUGUAACUAAACUGUAUCCCAAAUCUGACUGCAGUGUGUUUGAUGCCUUUGGUAGAGUCUAUAGUGGUGAAAUUUUGAAAGGACAAACUGUCCGCGUACUAGGAGAAGGAUAUUCUCCAGAUGACGAAGAGGACAUGACAGUGAAGGAAGUAACAAAAUUAUGGGUCUAUCAAUCACGAUAUAGGAUUCCUAUUAACAAGGCUCCUCCUGGUUCUUGGGUUCUUAUUGAAGGUGUGGAUGCAUCUAUUAUGAAGACUGCUACACUCUGCAACUUGGAAUACGAUGAUGAUGUGUAUAUAUUCAGGCCCCUCCAGUUUAAUACCCUUCCUGUGGUUAAAACUGCCACGGAACCCCUGAAUCCUAGUGAGCUACCAAAAAUGGUGGAGGGUCUUAGGAAGAUCAGCAAAAGUUAUCCACUAGCCAUAACAAAGGUUGAAGAAUCAGGGGAGCAUACCAUUUUAGGUACUGGAGAACUCUACUUGGACUCUAUAAUGAAGGACCUUAGAGAGCUCUAUUCUGAAGUCGAAGUCAAGGUGGCAGAUCCUGUUGUGUCAUUUUGUGAAACAGUUGUAGAAUCCUCUUCAAUGAAAUGUUUUGCUGAGACUCCAAACAAGAAAAAUAAAAUCACCAUGAUUGCAGAGCCAUUGGAGAGAGGGCUUGCUGAGGACAUAGAAAAUGGUGUUGUAAGCAUUGAUUGGCCACGGAAGAAGCUUGGUGAUUUUUUCCAGACAAAAUAUGACUGGGAUCUGCUAGCUGCACGGUCUAUUUGGGCAUUUGGUCCAGAUAAGCAGGGACCUAAUAUUUUGUUGGAUGAUACGCUGUCAAGUGAAGUUGAUAAGGGCUUGCUUUCUGGAGUCAAAGAUUCUAUUGUUCAAGGGUUUCAGUGGGGUGCACGAGAAGGUCCUCUCUGUGAUGAGCCCAUCAGGAAUGUGAAAUUCAAAAUAGUGGAUGCUAAAAUUGCACCCGAACCACUAAAUCGUGGAACUGGUCAGAUCAUUCCAACUGCUCGGCGUGUUGCCUAUUCAGCUUUUCUCAUGGCAACACCUAGGCUCAUGGAACCUGUGUAUUACGUGGAGAUACAAACUCCAAUAGAUUGUGUUUCGGCAAUAUAUACGGUGUUGUCGCGUAGACGUGGUCAUGUUACUGCUGAUGUUCCACAACCAGGGACCCCUGCCUACAUUGUUAAGGCAUUUUUACCUGUUAUCGAGUCAUUUGGCUUUGAAACAGACCUGAGGUAUCAUACACAGGGCCAAGCAUUUUGCUUAUCUGUGUUUGAUCAUUGGGCUAUUGUUCCCGGGGAUCCUCUCGACAAGAGUAUUGUUCUGCGCCCAUUGGAGCCCGCUCCAAUCCAGCAUUUGGCUCGGGAAUUUAUGGUCAAGACCAGGCGUAGGAAGGGAAUGUCUGAGGACGUAAGCAUUAACAAAUUCUUUGAUGAGGCAAUGGUUGUAGAACUAGCGCAGCAGGCGGCCGAUCUCCAUCAACAAAUGAUCUAAAUAUGGCGUCUAGUUUUUGCAGAUUGUUGAUUCCAAAACUCUACCAACAGGAGGUCUUGGAACAGGCACAACAGCCAAAAACAGAGCCGAGGGCGCGACGACGAGGUUUAGGAUCAGACGGCGGCGUAUUCACCUCCAUCGCCGUGGAAUUUGAUCGUCGUGAUUGUGGAGAUGCAUCGAUGAGCUGACGAUUAGAUCUCGAGAUGGGAUGGAAGCUGAAAUCCCCGGAUUUGUCGCGGGGCGACGGAGUCGACGACUUGGCGUCGGGGAAUUGAAUCCUGCUGUCCCAAAUGCGGCCGGAGGAGCCCUGCCGCCGGAAUGAGUAGGACGAUCUCUGCAAUGCGCUCAUCGGUCGAUCGAUAUGG